UCGGAUGGCUAAGUCGGUAGAAUGUUGGACUAUGAUUCCAGCAGUUCCUGGUUCGAGUCCCAAUUGGCGAA